UUUCCUUCUUUUUAUGUGUUCUGUCUCUCUCCCCUCCUCAGUUCUGGACCAAAGCUUAUCCUCUCCUUUUUUGGCGUUCUGUCUCUCUCCCCUCCUUAGUUCUCAUCGACCUCAGUACCUCACUACUCAGCCACUAGGUAUGAUUCUUUGAUUUGUUAUUUAGUUAUUUACAAAUAAAUUAAUGUUUGCUUUAGUAGCACUUUGCUAAGUAUGGUGAUUUGGUAUGAGAUGUUGUUUGCUUUUAAUAGGGUUAGCAAAGUGCUGCAGUCUAAUAAUAUGCAAAUUAAUGUUGCUAUAGCUGAAGUAAAAGGUCUAAUUUCUUGGCUUGAUAAGUUUAGAGAAACUGGCUUUACAGAUGCAAUAAUUACUGCUAAAGAAAUUGCUGCUGCAUUAGAUGUUGAUCCUGUUUUUCAGGAAAAGCGUCCAAUUCAAAGAAAAAGAUUUUUUGAUGAAAGCGGCAGUGAGCCAUCUCCAUCAUCUUCAGGUCAGGAAUCUUUUAGAGUGCAUUAUUUCUUAAAUAUUGUAGAUCAAGAUAAGGGAUCAUUAAAUAUAAGGUUUGAACAAUAUCAACAUUAUGAUGAUAUCUUUGGAGUUUUAUUCACUUCAGAAACUUUGAAUUCCUUGAAUGAUAAUGAUAUGAAAACUGCUUGUAUUCAUCUUGAGACUAUUUUGAGACAUGGUGAUGGGGAAAAAGUAUUGAACACAAGCCUCCAACAAUCACUCAACAGACACAAGAAAUAAGGAGUAGCAAACUCAUAAAAUAGGGCAAAUCCAUGCCACAAAUAAACUGAUAUUAUUCAUAAACUAUAAGCUAUCUAACAACGAUUACAUUACCCAUAUUUAUAGGGUUUACAAUACUUGGAGAAUAAGUAGACUUAAGCUAAAGUGGAAAGCUAAUUAAAUGUAAAUCUUAAAUUAAAUGUAAAAAGAUACCCUAAAAAUAUCUAAACAAUGAAAUAUCAAAUAUUACAAAUCUAUAAUAAAACAACAAAAUAAUGCAUUUGAUGUUGCCCCAUAUGCACCCACAUCACAUGGAGAGAGUUCAGAUGUUGAUGGGGAAGACCUGUUUAGAGACCUAAAACUCUUAAGGGAAAUAUUACCCAAACAGAGGAUGACUGCUAUUGAUAUAUUGAAUUUCUUACAGGAAGGGAACACUUGCCCGGUUGUUAGACUUGCAUAUCAAAUAUUGUUAACUGUGCCUGUUACUGUUGCUUCAGCUGAGAGGAGUUUUUCCAAGUUAAAGUUGUUGAAAUCUUAUUUGCGAUCAAAUAUGUCACAAGAAAGGUUAAAUGGACUUGCUUUGAUUUCAAUUGAGAACGAGUAUCUUGGAAAAAUCAAUUGUGAUAAGCUAAUUGAUCAGUUUGUAGUUAAGAAGGCAAGGAGAUGGAUUUUCAAAUGAAUAUCAAUCAACACUGUUAGAAUGUGUUAUUUUGAGGGUUUCAGAUGAAGUAUCUUUUUGUAAUUAUUUUUUGCUGCAAACUUUACGUUUGUAUUGAAUAUUUAGCCACUUUUGUAGGCUCUUCUAAUGAUAUUGAUCAUACAUUGUUGGUUAUUUGAUUUUAUAUGUGAGUUUGUUCAAGUAUAAAUCUCAUAUAAGACUAAAGUUUGGAGGGCUGCAUUUUAAACUUUCGCAUAGGGCCUCCGAAGAGUUUGAGAUGGCUCUGCAGCGGCCUUGACUGACUAACGAGUCUUCUGCAAUAUAAAAAAUCUUUAUUUUUAUUUUUUUGAAGAUAAUUGGGAAAAGUAUGCACCAAUCAUAUGCUGAAAAGGUUGGAAAAAAAACUUUAUUUUUGGAUCACGUUUUGCACGACCACACUCAUCUUUUUCUUUGGAAGAACAAGUGUCUUCAUGUUGUGCCUUGAGAGAAAUAUUUUCUUCUACUUACUAUUGGCCGCCAAGGAAUACUUUUCUCCAGGACUUUCACCCAAUCUAUGUUGCACUAUUGUGUCUUUAGGGAAUCCUGUCAACUUCUUUGAACCAUUGUGCCUUCAGGGAGCCUUGUCAACUUGACACUAUUGUGCCAUCUUUAACUUCAUCUUCAGACUUUUGCCGCUUCUAGAGAGCAUUUUUCUCUUGCCACCUUUGUGCCAGGCUUCUUUCAGAAAUUUAUACCAUUCAUUCCUUCUUUCAGGGACGUUAACCCUUCAUCUUAUUUGAGGGACUUUAACCCCUUUACCUUCUUUCAGGAACUCGACUUGAUACACAUUUAUGCAAGCGCACGUAUUAUUAUCAAGUAAGGAAAGUAUUAAAACCUUGAUUAUCGUACCUCGGGGAUUAAGCGUUUGACCUAAAUGAUGUAAUUGGCACUAGGUAACUCAAAAGCAUACAAGGAGAAAUAAAAAUAAAAAGAUAAAAUAAAAGCUAUAAACAAUCAAGGCACGAAGCCUUGGCAAUGCUCGGCUUAACUCACACCAAGCCUAAUCAAAGCUACUAACUUAUUGCCCAAAUGACUUAUGCACAAUGAAAGGUAGUCAUUUUUUCUUUGGAAAAACACAAGUAUCUUCAUGUUGUGUUUUUUCUUUUUCUUUUUCUCACAAAAAAAAAAAAAUAAUAAUAAUAAUGGUUGUCAAGUUGCAUAUCACUUCUUAAUCUCCCGCAUUAUCUUUGGUUUAUAGUUCCCUCAUUUUAUGUAAACAACCAUGUCAAUAUGGGCAUAGCUACCAUAGGGCAAGAAUGGUCAAUUGACCCUUCUCAUUUAAAAAAAAUAAAUAUGAUUGGUUGAAAACUUGAAAUAUUUGGACUUCUAUCAAUAGAAAUAGGAUAUCGACUCUUCUGCUUCUGUCUUGAUGUGUCUCACAUUUCUUUUAUAAAACUGAACCUCCAAUGAUUAUUGUGAUCCCAGAGUAGGAGGUAUAAAUAUAGUAAAUCAUUUAUGGUAACAAUCAAAAGAUUAAAAAAAAAAACCACGAUCUUAUAUUUUCCUUUUUUUUUUCUUUUCAGAAUUGAUCUACUCAUGCAUGCAUAAACAUAUAACGAUUGAUUUGCAGUAAUAUAAUCAAAAAGUCGAUCUCCCUAACCGUUGAUUAGAAAAUCCUCAACUAGUAUUCAUUAAAGUGGUUCUCAUUAGAAGUGCUCCCUAGUCCUUAAUGAUUAUUGAUUGAUUUCAGCUUCUUCUACUGCUCCAUCUUUUGCUUCUAAAGAAGUACUUUUGCUUGAGAAUGAGAUUGAUCUGAAUGAUGCUAGUAUUGAAACUGUUACUGUGAUUGGUUCUAAGAGAAUUUAUUUUUUUUUUGAAAAUUCUGCGUAUUUAUCCCACAAAAGAUUAAUUAGGACAUGUUUCUAAAGAAAGAUUGCAUCUUCUAGUUAAACAAGGAAUCUAAACUUGAUCUCUCAAACUUGAUUGACUACAUUGAAUGUGUAAAAAGCAAGUAUGCUAAAUAGAAAAAGAAAACAACAACUAGAAGCACUACUGUCUUGCAAUUGAUUCACAUAGAUAUCUAUGGACCUUUUGCGACUCAAACCUUAUGUGGUGACAAGUACUUUAUCACGUUUAUCUAUGACUUCUCCAGAUUUUGCUAUGUUUAUCUCAUUUCAGAAAAAUCACAAGUUUUGGAAAAAUUUAAGAUUUUUAAAGCUGAAGUAGAAAAGGAGUUAAAUGCCAAAAUUAAGACAGUCAUAUCAGAUAGAAGGGGGGGGGGGAGUACAAUGAGUGGUAUACUAAACUAGGAAAGCAAAAGGGACCAUUUGCCUUGUUUAUGCAAGAACAAGGCAUUCAGGCUCAUUAUACUACACCUGGUACUCCUGACUCCUGAGCAAAAAGGUGUUGCAGAGAGAAGAAAUAGAACAUUUAUGUUUAUGGUGAGGUGUAUGAUGUGCACCUCAGGUCUUCCAAGGAUGUUGUGGGGAGAGGCACUUAAAACAGUGAACUAUCUGACAAUAGAAUACCUAGCAAAGCUAUUGUCAAGAUUGCUUUUGAGCUGUGGAAGAAUAGAAAACCAAGUGUACUCCACACACACGUUUGGGGCUGUAAGGUAGGGGCUAGUUUGUACAAUCCUCAAGAGUCCAAGCUUGAUUCAAAAACCAUUUCAACUUUUUUUGUAGGCUAUCCAGAGAACUCAAAAGGCUUUAGAUUCUAAUGUCCAUCACAGACAACUAGAGUUGUUGAAACAAAUAAAGUUGUGUUCAUUGAUGACGUAAAUUUUGCUGACAAGUUUGAAGAUUUUGAGUUUGAUGAGUUAGCUAAGAGUGAGCCUACUGUGGUUGAUAAAUCUCUUUCAGAACCAGUAGUUGUUUUAGCUGAUUUUGAUACUCAAACUGCACCUGCAACUCAAAACCAUGUCAAAGUAGAUAUUGCAAAUCAAGUGGAUGAGUGUGUGUACAUGAAGACAGAAAGGAAAGAUUUUAUUUUUCUGAUUUUGUAUGUUAAUGACAUUUUGCUUGCAAGCACUAGUUUGAAAUUGCUGAAAAACACCACAGGGUUCUUAUUAAAGAAGUUUGAUAUGAAAGACUUAGGUGAGGCAAGUUAUGUGCAUGGUAUAGAGAUUAAAAGAGAUAGAGUAAGGCAUUUGCUUGGACGGUCGCAACAGGGCUAUAUCAAUAAGGUGUUGAAAAGGUUUGAUAUGCACAACUGUGCAAGUGGUGUGGUGCCUAUGUCAAACGGUGAUAAAUUGACUAAGGAAUAAUGGCCUCAAAAUGAAAUUGGAAGAGAGACUAUGAAGACUAAGCCUUGUGCACAACUUGUAGCUGGUUUGAUGUAUGCACAAGUGUGCACUAGACCUAACCUGGCCUAUGCAACAUGCAUUUUCUCAAGAUCUCAGUCCAAUCUAGGCCCUGAGCAUUGGAUAGCAGGCAAGAAGGUUUUAAGGAGGAGCCAUUGCUUGGAGAGUAUCAAGCAAACCAUAAUUGCCACUUCUACAAUGCAGGCAGAAUUCAUAGCAAUUUAUGAAGCUGUUUGUGAGGGGCUAUGGUUAAAGAAUUUUCUGGUUCAAACUAAGGUAGUUGACAACAUCAUUUCAAAACCAAUGAAAGUUUAUUGUGACAACUCAGUUACAAUGUUCUUUACUAGGAAUAAUAAGAGGUCUACUGACACCAAACACAUAGACCUUAAGUAUUACAGUGUGAGAGAAAGAGUCAAGCAUAGGGAAAUUGAAGUUUUGAAGAUUUGAACUCUUUUCUAGUUGGCUGAUCCUUUCACCAAGGCGAUGACAGUGGUUGCAUUCAAACCGCAUGUUAUUGAAAUUGGAGUUUUAUCAAGCAUAUUAGAUGCUUGAAACCAGUGGGAGUGUUUCAUUUGAAUAAGACUUGUGGUUUUUUGUGUUGUUAUUUUCUGAAAAUUUUCUCAUUAUACUGAAUUAUAACUUUUAAUUGAGAAAUUGGAGUGCAAUGAAAUUAAGUUUUCAUUUUGAUUUGCAGCCUUACUGAGUGACACAUGUACUAAAGUUCAAGUUUUGG